rnacentral:tRNA from 2 species
GCGAGUAUAGCUUAAAUGGUUAAAGUAUCAGGUUGUGGUUCUGGUGAUACGAGUUCAAUUCUCGUUAUUCGCC